UGGGGAAUAUUGCACAAUGGGGGAAACCCUGAUGCAGCGACGCCGCGUGAACGAAGAAGGUAUUCGUAUCGUAAAGUUCUGUCCUAUGGGAAGAUAAUGACAGUACCAUAGAAGAAAGCUCCGGCUAAAUACGUGCCAGCAGCCGCGGUAAUACGUAUGGAGCGAGCGUUGUCCGGAAUUAUUGGGCGUAAAGGGUACGCAGGCGGUUUAAUAAGUCGAAUGUUAAAGAUCGGGGCUCAACCCCGCAAAGCAUUGGAAACUGAUAAACUUGAGUAGUGGAGAGGAAAGUGGAAUUCCUAGUGUAGUGGUGAAAUACGUAGAUAUUAGGAGGAAUACCAGUAGCGAAGGCGACUUUCUGGACACAAACUGACGCUGAGGUACGAAAGCGUGGGGAGCAAACAAG
rnacentral:rRNA from 1 species